rnacentral:lncRNA from 1 species
AAAAAAACAAGGGGCUUUUGGUUCAGAGUCAAUGUUAUAUCCUGUGUUUGUUUCUUUUAUUUCCUCGGUUUUCUUUUCUUAUUUCUUGAAUGUUUACCGACUACCCUUUUCCGUGCUUCUUUCUUUUGAAUCAUCGAGUAUAUGAUUUUUAUUUUUCUUUCUUUUUCUCGAUUCAUCACUUUUUCUUUUUCUCUUGUUUUUUUUUUGCACUUUC